GUGACAUGCAUUUCCGGUGAUACUUUUCAACUGAACUCGUGAGAAGGAAAUGAAAUGGAAUUCCUAGAGGAAGAAUAAGGAGAGGAAGGGCCAGAAGAGGGCAUGACUUGUCCUGCUCCAAAAUGUCCUAAUGCAAGACAUCACUUUAGAAAUCUGGGUAACUACAUACUUCAUUUCAACAGAUUUCACAAGAAAAUUAUGUUGUACAGCAAUCUGAUUAAAAUACAGAUCUCUGAAAUAGCGCACAGCGCAUCUGUAAAGUGAAAGAUGCGAGAAGGUCAGAAAUUACCCGUCACUGCAAAAGAGUACACAAGAACAAAAGUGUUUGGACAAAUCAUUGGCAAGGUGGUGGAGAAUGUCAAAUACAUUGAUCCUGGAAACUUCAGGAGACCAAGGAAGAGAAUCCAUCGCGAGGAGAGAGAGAAAGCAAAACAUCAGAGGAUGAACAGUCUUUGUUUGAACUUACAAAUGACUAUGUACAAUGCUCGUGUUCAUAGAUUCCUUCAUGAUGGAUAUUCAGGAUUUAAAUAAACUUUGACUUUUUGGUUUACCAACAAAGUUGUCUAUUUAAUUUUUUUUUAUACAAAAAUUGUUAUUUUUGUUUUAAGGGGGAGGAAUGUGACAAUUUUCGGAAAACCUAUAUAUUAUUUGUUAUCAACUAGCCUAAAAUCAUAUAUUUAUUUUUGUCAUAAUAAAUUCAUAAACUUUA